GAUACCAUGAACACCAACACCUAACAAAAAGGUUCUUUGGAAGAAAACAAGGCCCACAGGAUUACAUAUCCUCAACCAUAGUAAACAGGAGGCAUGAAGUCCUCACCACUCCACUCACUCUGGGAUAAGCAAGAAAAACUUGGGUGAAUGCUGUGAGUUGGAAGACACGCCCCUUUGGUUCUGCAAUCUCAGAGCAUGCUGUUAUACCUUUGGAGGAACGUAGAACUCCAGCAGGAACUUCUCCCCUCCUUCCUCCCGCUUGGUCUUCCUGAGAAGCAGGCGGCACUUCUGCCACUGCGAAGCACCCAUACAGUUUGUGUCGUC